CGAUGAAGCCCAGCUUGCUGGGUGGAUUAGUGGCGAACGGGUGAGUAACACGUGAGUAACCUGCCCUUAACUCUGGGAUAAGCCUGGGAAACUAGGUCUAAUACCGGAUAGGAGCGCCUACCGCAUGGUGGGUGUUGGAAAGAUUUAUCGGUUUUGGAUGGACUCGCGGCCUAUCAGCUUGUUGGUGAGGUAAUGGCUCACCAAGGCGACGACGGGUAGCCGGCCUGAGAGGGUGACCGGCCACACUGGGACUGAGACACGGCCCAGACUCCUACGGGAAGCAGCAGUUGGGAAUAUUGCACAAUGGGCGAAAGCCUGAUGCAGCGACGCCGCGUGAGGGAUGACGGCCUUCGGGUUGUAACCUCUUUCAGUAGGGAAGAAGCGAAAGUGACGGUACCUGCAGAUGAAGCACCGGCUAACUACGUGCCAGCAGCCGCGGUAAUACGUAGGGUGCGAGCGUUAUCCGGAAUUAUUGGGCGUAAAGAGCUCGUAGGCGGUUUGUCGCGUCUGUCGUGAAAGUCCGGGGCUUAACCCCGGAUCUGCGGUGGGUACGGGCAGACUAGAGUGCAGUAGGGGAGACUGGAAUUCCUGGUGUAGCGGUGGAAUGCGCAGAUAUCAGGAGGAACACCGAUGGCGAAGGCAGGUCUCUGGGCUGUAACUGACGCUGAGGAGCGAAAGCAUGGCGAGCGAACAGGAUUAGAUACCCUGGUAGUCCAUGCCGUAAACGUUGGGCACUAGGUGUGGGGACCAUUCCACGGUUUCCGCGCCGCAGCUAACGCAUUAAGUGCCCCGCCUGGGGAGUACGGCCGCAAGGCUAAAACUCAAAGGAAUUGACGGGGGCCCGCACAAGCGGCGGAGCAUGCGGAUUAAUUCGAUGCAACGCGAAGAACCUUACCAAGGCUUGACAUGUUCUCGAUCGCCGUAGAGAUACGGUUUCCCCUUGGGGGCGGGUUCACAGGUGGUGCAUGGUUGUCGUCAGCUCGUGUCGUGAGAUGUUGGGUUAAGUCCCGCAACGAGCGCAACCCUCGUUCCAUGUUGCCAGCACGUAAUGGUGGGGACUCAUGGGAGACUGCCGGGGUCAACUCGGAGGAAGGUGAGGACGACGUCAAAUCAUCAUGCCCCUUAUGUCUUGGGCUUCACGCAUGCUACAAUGGCCGGUACAAUGGGUUGCGAUACUGUGAGGUGGAGCUAAUCCCAAAAAGCCGGUCUCAGUUCGGAUUGGGGUCUGCAACUCGACCCCAUGAAGUCGGAGUCGCUAGUAAUCGCAGAUCAGCAACGCUGCGGUGAAUACGUUCCCGGGCCUUGUACACACCGCCCGUCAAGUCACGAAAGUUGGUAACACCCGAAGCCGGUGGC
rnacentral:rRNA from 1 species